CCUACGGGUGGCAGCAGUGGGGAAUAUUGCACAAUGGAGGAAACCCUGAUGCAGCGACGCCGCGUGAGUGAAGAAGUAUUUCGUUAUGUAAAGCUCUAUCAGCAGGGAAGAAAGUGACGGUACCUGAUAAAGAAGCCCCGGCUAACUACGUGCCAGCAGCCGCGGUAAUACGUAGGGAGCAAGCGUUAUCCGGAUUUACUGGGUGUAAAGGGAGCGUAGGCGGCAGAACAAGUCUGGAGUGAAAUGCCAAGGCUUAACGACGGGACUGAUUUAGAAACUGUGCAGCUAGAGUGCAGGAGAGGUAAGUGGAAUUCCUAGUGUAGCGGUGAAAUGCGUAGAUAGUAGGAGGAACACCAGUGGCGAAGGCGGCUUACUGGACUGUAACUGACGUUGAGGCUCGAAAGCGUGGGGAGCAAACAGGAUUAGAUACCCGAGUAGUC
rnacentral:rRNA from 1 species